UACGUAGGGGGCUAGCGUUGUCCGGAUUUAUUGGGCGUAAAGAGCGUGUAGGCGGCCUGACAGGUCUGCUGUGAAAACUCGAGGCUCAACCUCGAGAUGUCGGCGGAAACCGUCUGGCUAGAGUCCGGAAGAGGAGAGUGGAAUUCCUGGUGUAGCGGUGGAAUGCGCAGAUAUCAGGAGGAACACCGGUGGCGAAGGCGGGUCUCUGGGCAGUAACUGACGCUGAGGAGCGAAAGCGUGGGGAGCGAACAGG
rnacentral:rRNA from 1 species